UCUAGUCUUCAGGGCAGGGUGAAAUUCCCGACCGGCGGUUAAAGUCCGCGAGCUGUUAUAGACAGUUGAGCUGGUGAAAUUCCAGUACCGACAGUAAAGUCUGGAUGGGAGAAGAUUAGU
rnacentral:ncRNA from 1 species